GGAUAAGGUCUUUUUACCUCGGUAAAAGGACUUUAACUCCGUGGAGCUGGGGUUUCUUUCAGACAAUCAAAGGCCCAAGGUUAAGAUUUCUCUAGAAAAUCAAGGCCCAGGGCUAGGGUUUCGAUAGAAAACCAAGGCCCGAGUUUAUGAUUUGCUAGAGAAAAUUUUGCUUGUUCUUUUUCUAGGAAUUCAUUUCUACAUUCGCGCGAUCUGAUCUUCUAGAGAAAGACAGAUCGAUGAUUAGUAUUUCUCAGAAAUACGGCAACUAUGUCGACGAUGCUAGCUUCCUGAGAAUUACUAGUUUCGUUUGGGUUAGGGCUUUUCGAUGGCAAAGGAGAACAAAGCGGCUUCGCAGGCCACCGUCAAUGGCAACAAUACACUCACGAGCUCUCUACGAUGUCGUCCAUAAGGAUCGCAAGAGGAUGUGUUUUUUCUUAAGGAAACGACGGUAAUGGCGAGAAUGUACGAGAUCUCGAUGGUGCCGUCCACGAGUUCCUCAUUGUUGGCGUGAUAAUAGACUUGUGUUAAUAAGGCUUGUGUUUGAAAAAACGUAUGAAUCUGGACUUUGGUUUCAAGGAAAGUCACUUUCUAAAUACCUUUCUGCAAAGGAUGCUCCAAAAAGAUUCUCAUACAGGCACGUUUAUUUUAUACUACCACCAUUUGUUCCUGUUUCUUUACAAUGUGUAGAAUGAUCUUUUGUCUGCUCUUUAAGUGAGCUUCCCUUUAAGCCUUAUGAUAGUUUCUUAUGUCUUAAAACUUUAAAGCUUAACAAGAUGUGGUACUUCUAUAGAAUUUUGUGACAAGCCCGUGGGAAGGAAAAGAGAAGCCUUAGUAAAAGGACCUUCAUCCUUCCAUUCAUAUUUUUCAUCUCUCACUCACACACACAGAGAUACAGUGACAUUUCAAUACAUAUUUAGACUUUGUAAAAAUAUUCAAAUUUUCAUUUAAGAUUAAACCAUACCGUUAUUUAUAUAGGAUGUUAACCCUGCUUCCCUUAAGCAUUUAAUUCAACUUCCUAGAGUUUGUUAGGGGUAACUGUAAGAACCUUUGGGUUUGAGUUAUUCAAAUAGAUCCUAUCUUAUGUACUUGUUUUUUAUUUUUUUAAAUUUUUUUAACUGUGACUAGGGAUGGGCAAUGGGCACCCAUGUGUACUAACCACCACCACCUAACUGGUAUCCAUUUGGGCCCCAUCCCUACCUACUUUACAAGUGAUGUCACAACACAGGGGCAAGUAUGAUUUGAUGGAAGUGUAAUUUCCAAAAUUCAUACGAAUGACAAAAAAACGCUGGUCUCUUUGCAUUGCAGGGUCCAAAAUAUAGCAAGGAAUUCUUCAUGGGGUCUUGGACACACCCAAUCUGCAAUCUGGGUUUGACUUACUUUUAAAGACCUUGAACUUUCUCCUAUCACAAAUUACGUUAAAUCUUCUAUAUAUAGAAUUUUACCACUCAUCUUUAGGGCUGUAGUACUAAAUGGACAAUUUUGACUUUCGUGAUCUGCAGAGAUCCGUUUCUGUGCUCUUCUUCUUUUGUGUGUCUCUGUGUGAAUGCUCAAAAUCCGGUUUCAUAUGUGAUGCAUAUCAAACCUUAGUUGAUUGCAUAACAUGAAUUUAUAUUAAUAUAUUUUAUUCAUUUCCUUACAUGAUUUUGAUAAGUUAUGGGUGAUGAGAAGACUGUCUUUUGCAGCACUGGAUUAAUUCUUAGUUGUAGAGCAGAGUAAGUGCACCGUGAUGUCAAAAUAGACUGUUUUCUAACUGACUGAGGGUUAUCCGUUUUCCUUUAUUAUUUGUCUUUUUUUAACAAUGUCAGACUUGUAAACUGACUUUGCCCUUGCAGGGAUAUGUGAGUUGCAGAAUCAUGGUCAUAUUUUCAUCAGUGGAACAUUAGCAUGUUACAGUAUAUCCUUUGGUUUGAUGUCAAAUUUCAUCAAAUAGAAUUAUUAAAGGUUGCUGGACGAUUUAUUAUUGUUUCUUUUUUCUGUGCAUGAAUCCUAGGAAAAUCCACUUCAAAAUUAGAUGUUAUAUUUAGUCAAUAGGUCAAAUUUUUGUUGUUGGAUGGAAAUUAUAAUCUGCGUGUAGGUUGGUGAAAUGCAUUUUCACUGGUUGGGCCUAAUAACUAGAAUAGUUGGGACCCCUCAACCCGUUAACAUUUGUGAUGGAUGAUUAACAUUGAGCCCGUUAGCUCAAUGCAACUUUUAUUUAUUUAAUGAUUUUGGAAUUUCUGGAA